CACCGCGGUUAUACGAGUGACACAAACUAAUAUUCCACGGCGUUAAGGGUGAUUAAAACAAAUCUUUAUAAAAAUAAAGUUAAGACAACAUCAAACUGUUAUACGUUCUCAUGUUUAAAAACAUCACCUACGAAAGUAACUUUAUGCAAAAAAGAAUUUUUGAUUUCACGAUAGUUAAGACCCAAACUAGGAUUAGAUACCCUACUAUGCUUAACCGUAAACAUUGUAUUACAACAUUACCUUAAAUACCGCCCGAAUACUACAAGCGCUAGCUUAAAACCCAAAGGACUUGGCGGUACUCCAAACCCACCUAGAGGAGCCUGUUCUAUGACCGAUAAUCCGCGUUCAACCUCACCACUUCUUGCUCUUUCCGCCUAUAUACCGCCGUCGUCAGCUCACCCUAUGAAGGUUUAACAGUAAGCACAAUGACCUAUCCCCAGUACGUCAGGUCGAGGUGUAGCGAAUGAAGUGGGAAGAAAUGGGCUACAUUCUCUUUACAGAGAAACACGAACAGAAGUAUGAAAAACUUCUUAAAGGUGGAUUUAGUAGUAAGUAAAAUUUAGAACAUUAUACUGAAACUGGCUCUGGAGUGCGCACACACCGCCCGUCACUCUCCUCGAGAAUAACUACCCAUUUUAUAAAAAGAAUUAAAAACAAGAGGAGGCAAGUCGUAA
rnacentral:rRNA from 1 species